UACGUAGGGUGCGAGCGUUGUCCGGAAUUACUGGGCGUAAAGAGCUCGUAGGUGGUUUGUCGCGUCGUCUGUGAAAUUCCGGGGCUUAACUCCGGGCAUGCAGGCGAUACGGGCAUAACUUGAGUACUGUAGGGGAGACUGGAAUUCCUGGUGUAGCGGUGAAAUGCGCAGAUAUCAGGAGGAACACCGGUGGCGAAGGCGGGUCUCUGGGCAGUAACUGACGCUGAGGAGCGAAAGCAUGGGUAGCGAACAGGAUUAGAUACCCUGGUAGUCCAUGCCGUAAACGGUGGGCGCUAGGUGUAGGGGUCUUCCACGACUUCUGUGCCGUAGCUAACGCAUUAAGCGCCCCGCCUGGGGAGUACGGCCGCAAGGCUAAAACUCAAAGGAAUUGACGGGG
rnacentral:rRNA from 1 species